GUGUCAGCAGCCGCGGUAAUACGUAGGUGACAAGCGUUGUCCGGAAUUAUUGGGCGUAAAGGGAGCGCAGGCGGUUGGAAUAGUCUGAUGUGAAAGCCCACGGCUUAACCGUGGAAGGUCAUUGGAAACUGUCCAACUUGAAUGCAGAAGAGGAAAGUGGAAUUCCAUGUGUAGCGGUGAAAUGCGUAGAUAUGUGGAGGAACACCAGUGGCGAAAGCGACUUUCUGGUCUGUAAUUGACGCUGAGGCUCGAAAGCGUGGGUAGCGAACAGGAUUAGAUACCCUGGUAGUCCACGCUGUAAACGAUGAGUGCUAGGUGUUGGAGGGUUUCCGCCCUUCGGUGCCGGAGCUAACGUAUUAAGCACUCCGCCUGGGGAGUACGGCCGCAAGGCUGAA
rnacentral:rRNA from 1 species